rnacentral:rRNA from 1 species
CCUACGGGAGGCAGCAGUGAGGAAUAUUGGUCAAUGGACGCAAGUCUGAACCAGCCAUGCCGCGUGCAGGAAGACGGCUCUAUGAGUUGUAAACUGCUUUUGUACGAGGGUAAACGCAGAUACGCGUAUCUGUUUGAAAGUAUCGUACGAAUAAGGAUCGGCUAACUCCGUGCCAGCAGCCGCGGUAAUACGGAGGAUUCAAGCGUUAUCCGGAUUUAUUGGGUUUAAAGGGUGCGUAGGCGGUCGGAUAAGUUAGAGGUGAAAUCCCGAGGCUCAACUUCGGACUUGCCUCUGAUACUGUACGGCGAGAGAGUAGUUGCGGUAGGCGGAAUGUAUGGUGGAGCGGUGAAAUGCUUAGAGAUCAUACAGAACACCGAUUGCGAAGGCAGCUUACCAAGCUACGUCUGACGUUGAGGCACGAAAGCGUGGGGAGCAAACAGGAUUAGAUACCCUAGUAGUC